UGAAACCCAGAAGCCUUGUCUAUGAAUCUGUGAAUCCUGGAAUAGAUAUCUAUGAAUCGAGAUUUACAGAGAAGGUUUUUGGUUAUCAUCAGAUCAAACUUCUGCAAGAUCAACAGACAAUCACUCUUGACUUUGUAACCUAAGGUUUGAUUCUGCACAGGCAGUAAAUAAAUCUUGUUAAGAUGUUGUUUUGAUUCUUCUAUUCAUAGAUCAAUAGAUUUGAUGUCUAAGUUUUGUUAAAUCAGAGAAAGCCUGAUUUGAUUUAUAAUUUUCUGUAGAGAGAUUGAUUCAUCAUCUUUUGUUUAGAAAUCUGCAAUUGAUUGAUUUAUGUUGAUUCAUGAUUCUACAAUAGAAAAGGCCUGAUUCUGUUUUGAUUCAUCCUCUGUUAUUCUCUCAUCAAGAUAACUGACUGAUUUUCUGUUAAUUACUUCUCUUCUGUUUAUGUUGAUUCAACAAACAAUUAGAAAAGAAGGUCUUGUUUUGAUCGCGUACGUUGCUUCCUUCUCAUAGAUCGCAAUCCCCUCACUCCCCCAUAUUGUUUGCUUGAUUGAAAUGCCCCCAUCUCAAUUUGCGAUCUUUCUAUUCUGUGUUUUUAAUUCAAUUAAUUCCCCGGUCUUUCUCAUUGUGGACACUGAAUUUUUUUCGUAAUAUCUUUUGUGGUGGAUAUCUCUCUUUUUUCUGAUUGUAGGAGUCAAUCUCGACUUCGGCACCUUCAACUACUCAAGGAUGAUCAAGUAGGAAUUCCAACUCCAAAUGAUGGACAGAUGGAGAGUUAACUUAGAUUGAUGGAUCGUCCUAAUUAACUUCUGAAAUCAAUCGAUUGUUCUCAGGACAACUGAACCUAUUCAUGAAAUGUUGAUGAAAGUAAUGAGGGAAAUAUUAUACAGGUUUGUCAUGAAUGAAUCGGAUUACAAAUGUGCUUUGAACUCUGUGUGAAGCACAUUAUGUGAACCUGAUAUGUGAAAGUUCACUGGUGGUUAGAAUUAAAUUAGACUGGCAGUUGCAGCGAAUGCAUACGAGGUUGAUUUGAGGAUAGUAUUUGGGGAUAUUGAGUGAUUUGGGGGAUGUUACUCGAAUAGUGGAUAUGGAAGAAAUACCUUCAAUGGGAAAUAUUUGUAAUGGGAAAGAAGAUGUCUAUCUCCUGCUUCAAUUUGCUUAUGAGUGUUACCCUUUAUUAAAGAGGCGCGGGUUGGCACUCAAGAGGUUCACUCUCUCCAUUUAGCCUGACUGGCAAGCGAACAACACUGACUUAUACUGACAAUGAAGGUAACAUACAACGAGCCAGCAAAGAUUCCCCGUAGCAGAUUUGCGUAGAGUCCAUUCAGUGAUUGAUAAAUUUGCAGAGCUUAAGGUCACCCAGAGUAGCAUACCAGGAAGUCCCAGAAGGAUAGAGAGCAUCCAGGCUCCAUGGCAGUUUAUCAGUCUCUUUCUACUCUUUGACCCACCUAAACACGAGAUGCUGAGACAAUUAGGAGGGCUCUGUGUCAAAAUGAUCAGAGAUGAUAACUGGCCAUUGGGAAAGAAACUGGCCACCAUCUGGGGAUGGUAUCCCUCAUCUGCGUUGCUAGGCCAGAGCAAGGAUGAAUCUGUUGCAGCGUUACCAGUUGAUGAACUUAUAGAGAACGCAUAUGGAUUCUGAAAACAAUAACAUGAAAGACCUUCUCUGUGAAUCAGUGACUCGUAAAUCAUCUAAGAAUCCAGAUUCACAGAGAAGGUUUUUGGGUGAUCCUCGAAUCAAAAUUCUGCACAGACACCCAAGGGGUCAAUCUCGACUUAGGGGGUGGAAUUCAUAGGCAAAAGUGACAUCUUCUGGCAAGCAAUAUGGAUGAAGAUAAGAAAGACGAGCUGUCUAUAUUAAUGCAAGAAUAAGCAUAUCAAAGAAGAAAGAAUAAAAAAGAGAUUGAAAGCAGUUGCGUAUUUAGCACACCACGUCCAAAAGAGAGAGUUUUGUUCUGCAUUGGUUUGGAUAGCUGAAGUUUGUCCAUAUUACUUGGAGGGUCACACAAGGGGAACCCUCCUCAUGAUAUGCUCCAGAAACUGGGAUUCAAUAUGAUUGGAAUUUAUAGAGAAGAAAAAUGUUAGCGACAAAUUGAGAUUCAGAUGUCUAUGAGAAAUCGUGUUUUUGCAUCAGCAAAUUCCACAGAAGAUUUUAUCCUAAAAUUUGGUCAGAAAGGUUGAAGCCGAAUGUUGUUGCCUGUAAAUGAUGUGUUUGAAGAUAGCUGGUUCUAAUAAUAGUUCUAUUCAUGCCUUUGCAUGGGCUUCAGAAUCAGAAUAUGAUGCACCAAUCUCCUAUCCGCAUCUAGAUGAGGAGAGGUUUGCCAAAGAGCGUGAUAAGAAAGCAACACACAAGAAUGCUGAUAUCAUCCUGCUUAAUCCAGACACAAGGAUGUUGAUGAUCCAUUAAGUCAGGACUGGAGAGGCUGAAGAGAUGCUUCACUCAACAUCAUUUCUUGCAGCAGUGGUGAGGCUAAGUUUAACUCAGGCUGAGAUGCAGGGGAUAUGAAGUUAAAGAGUUAAUGAAAGUGAUGGCUUGGGCAGUUGCGGAGUGAACUAGGAAUGAAGUUUGUUAGUGAAGAUGAAAAUGACACUGGAGUUGUUGAUAUGAAUGAAUGCAAGUCUGGAAGUAAGUGGUUGUUGUGGUGGACUUGAAGAUACAGGUGGUAGUGGUACUUGUUUUUGUUCUUACUUGUUUUGAUUCAAGUCAUAAUGCAAAAUAUAUUCUAAGGUUAAAGAUAACCUUAACGGUGAAUGGGAAGUGUUGCUUAACGGUGAAUGGGAAGUGUUGCUUGAGAAGAGGUAUCAAAUGUCUGGCUAUGGAGUUUAAUUGCAGGUGAAGUCUGGUGGUAUGGUGCUGUGUUCAGUUGCGACUACGAGUUAAUAUUGAAUUGGUGGAGUUUAGGUUGAGAGCACAAGGUUUUUGAGUUGAAGGUUAAUUUGAUUGCAGAACAUGACAUGUUUUCUGGGAAAAGAAAACAUUUGGAAUCGAGAACGAUGAGUUGCUUAAAUUGAGUCGAAGAAACCUAAGACGAAAA